rnacentral:rRNA from 1 species
UACGUAGGGUGCGAGCGUUAAUCGGAAUUACUGGGCGUAAAGCGUGCGCAGGCGGUUCGUUAUGUCUGAUGUGAAAGCCCCGGGCUCAACCUGGGAAUGGCAUUGGAAACUGGCGAGCUUGAGUGUGGCAGAGGGGGGUGGAAGUUCCGCGUGUAGCAGUGAAAUGCGUAGAUAUCGGAAGGAACACCAGUGGCGAAAGCGGCUUCCUGGUCCAGCACCGACGUUCAGGCACGAAAGCGUGGGGAGCAAACAGG